rnacentral:misc_RNA from 1 species
GAAAUGCGAUAAGUAAUGCGAAUUGCAGAAUUCCAGUGAGUCAUCGAAUCUUUGAACGCACAUUGCGCCCUUUGGUAUUCCGAAGGGCAUGCCUGUUCGAGCGUCAUUAUCACCCGUCAAGCCCCCGGCUUGGUGUUGGACGGUUUGGUUUUGGCGACAAGACCCCUCUUAAAAUCAAUGACGGCAGCGUCUGGCUCCAAGCGUAGUACAGCUCUCGCUCUGGGGCUAGGCGGUAGCCUGCCAGAACCCCCUUCUAUGGUUGACCUCGGAUCAGGUAGGGAUACCCGCUGAACUUAA